CUUUAUUUAUCAGCAGGGGGCGCACUAACCUUUCUUUCUAAUAUGAGAGAGCUUAAAGUGAGUGUAAAGGUUUCUGUUCAAUAAGGAGUCACCCUGUGUUUUAUUACAUUGUUUAAUUACUUUAAAGGUUCCAGCUGCAAGGUCUAAUAGUGUCUGAAUUACAGUGUUGAAAAUGACCACCAUGACAUAAUAAAUGAGAGUAUGAUCUAUUGAUAGAUAGGUUUUAAUAGUUGUGCUGAGUACAGUAACACUUUAAUUUGACUUACAGACAGCAGUUAAUUAAUUAUAAAUACAGAAAAGUGCAAAAAUAAAUGCUUCAAUGUGAACAGAGGUUAAUGCCAAGAUCGGUAUUUUCAUUGUCACUAAAACCAGAAACUAAAGGAGCAUCCUGUCACAUCCACAGCUACUUACAGGACAAAUCUCAACCAGCACACAGUGUAAGGAGAACAAUGCAGACUUUUAUUUUGUAGAUAAACUAAUCAAAUUAAACUAAUAUAAAUAUAUACAGUGAACAGUUCUGUGUUUAAACAGAUGAGAAUGGAUGAUGAUGAUAAUAAUGAAUAUUAAACACAGUCACAGCCUUUUGUACACAACCUGUUGACAUUUUACAAAACAGUUCAGAUUCUUUUAAAGUGCUAAAGUGGGAACUUUGAUACAAUCCAUGAAAUUAAAGCAGGAAUCUUCAGUCACAGCUCAUAUCUUAGACUGGACACCAACAUCAUUAAGAUCUCCCUUCUUCACUGUGUGUCUGCAGCCUUUUCACUGGCUCAAAGACAACACCUGCUCACAUAGACUGGAGGUUUUUAGUCCACGUCGUUCAACGCUGCGUCUCUCUGUGUUUUAAAGUGUCUCGUGUGCCUGUUUAUCACCAUGUGUUACAUCUACAUCCGGUUUGAUUCCAUUCUCUGGAUCCACUUUAUGUCUGUGAACCAACAGAAACAGGAAAGUGUUGAAGUUGUUGUUUUUAUGUGUUUUUGUCUAAUCAAUGAAUGAGUGUUAAAGUGAGAAAAUGACACAAGCAGAACAAAAAUAUGAUAAUUGAACUGGAAUAUUUUUAACAUCACAGUGACUUUCAUAAACAGAACAUUUCCAAAUGAGAGAAAGCUUUUGAAAGCAACACAUUUUCUUUUAUUUCCUCCAUAUUCCCCAAAUUUCCUGCAGUGAAGAUCAUUUCAGACUGUUUGCUUAGUUACUGUUGUUAUGCCUUUAUGUAUGUCAAUAAAGAGCUCUGACAGUAACUUGGUAUAAAAAAGGAAAAUAAAUAUGUGACUUACAUAUUAUCAGAAUGAUAAUUUGCACCACAUUAAUGCAAAGAAGAAUGAUGAUGCUCGAUGCAAAGAAGAAUGAUGAUCCAAAUCCAAUCAGACUGAACUGUGAAUAAAUCAGAUGAAAAGAUAGAAGAGAGAACAGAAUGACAUUAUUGAAUCAAACUAGAGCUCAACAGUGACAAUAUGUUUAAUAUAUUUAGAGCUCUUUAUAACCUGGAACAUAGAUGUGUGUCUCUCUGGUCUGGUGGAUGUCCUUCUGUUGGACUCUACAGGUGAAGUUGUUGCUGUGUCUCUUCUCCACAGUCACUCUGCUGCUGACAGUAUAGAGGUCAUCAGGACCUCUGACUGUCUCUGUAGGUCCAGCAGAGAGGAGGUUUCCCUCACCGUCCAGCCAGACCACCUUAGGCUCUGGAUACCAGCCUUUAGACUCACACUGUAGAACUACUCUUCUACUGUUAUUGGAGACAACCUCUAUGAUGGGAGUGGAGACGACACCUGAUGAGAAGAGAGGAGGAAUUUCAAACAGUGGAUUCAGAUCCAACAAAUAACUUAUAGCACUGUUUUCUUUGUGUCUUAUCAUGGCUGCUUACUUCUAAUAUAAAGUUACAUUACUGAUCUUUGCAGUCAGCAGAAAUGUGUAAUUCAUCAUCUUCAGAAAGUCUGAC
rnacentral:lncRNA from 15 species